UGAGUACGAGAUGCUACGGCAUCGAAGCAGUCUAUGUCAUACUUCCAAGAAAAGCUUGCACUGUCAUAAACAAAGAAUGCCUGUACCAUAACCGACACAGGUGGGUAGGUAGAGUAUACUAAGGGGCGCGAGAUAACUCUCUCUAAGGAACUCGGCAAAAUGACUCCGUAACUUCGGGAGAAGGAGUGCCUUAUUUAUAAGGUUGCAAUAACAAGAUCCAAGCAACUAUUUACCAAAAACACAGGUCUCCGCGAAGUCGUAAGACGAUGUACGGGGGCUGACGCCUGCCCAGUGCCAGAAGGUUAAAGAAGUUGGUUAGCAUUCGCGAAGCUGAUAACUGAAGCCCUGGUGAACGGCGGCCGUAACAAUAACGGUCCUAAGGUAGCGAAAUUCCUUGUCGGGUAAGUUCCGACCCGCACGAAAGGCGUAAUGAUUUGGAUACUGUCUCGGAGAGGGGCUCGGUGAAAUAGACUUGUCUGUGAAGAUGCGGACUACCUGCACCUGGACAGAAAGACCCUAUGAAGCUUUACUGUAACUUGAAAUUGAAAUUGGACUUUAUUUGCGCAGUUUAGGUGGGAGGCGUUGAGAAUAACCUUGCGGGGUUAUCGGAGCCAUCAGUGAGAUACCACUCUUGUAAUGUUAGAUUUCUAACUUUGUAUCAUUAUCUGGUCAAAGAACAGUUUCAGGCGGGCAGUUUGACUGGGGCGGUCGCCUCCCAAACGGUAACGGAGGCGCACAAAGGUUUCCUCUGAACGGGUAGAAAUCGUAUCUAGAGUGUAAAGGCAUAAGGAAGCUUGACUGUGAGACCUACAAGUCGAGCAGGGACGAAAGUCGGUCUUAGUGAUCUGACGGUGCUGAGUGGAAAGGCCGUCACUCAACGGAUAAAAGUUACUCUAAGGAUAACAGGCUGAUCUCCCCCAAGAGUUCACAUCGACGGGGAGGUUUGGCACCUCGAUGUCGGCUCAUCGCAUCCUGGGGCGGUAGUACGUCCCAAGGGUUGGGCUGUUCGCCCAUGAAAGCGGUACGCGAGCUGGGUUCAGAACGUCGUGAGACAGUUCGGUCCAUAUCCGGUGUAGGCGUUAGAAUAUUGAGAGGAGCCUUCUCUAGUACGAGAGGACCGAGAAGGACAUACCUCUGGUGUACCAGUUAUCGUGCCAACGGUAAACGCUGGGUAGCUAUGUGUGGAGUGGAUAACCGCUGAAAGCAUCUAAGUGGGAAGCCCACCUCAAGAUAAGUAUUCUC
rnacentral:rRNA from 1 species